rnacentral:rRNA from 1 species
UACGUAGGCAGCGAGCGUUGUUCGGAGUUACUGGGCGUAAAGAGUGCGUAGGCGGUUUUCUAAGUUUGGUGUGAAAUCUCCCGGCUUAACUGGGAGGGUGCGCCGAAGACUGGAAGGCUUGAGUAUGGGAGAGGUAAGCGGAAUUCCUGGUGUAGCGGUGAAAUGCGUAGAUAUCCGAAGGAACAUCAGUGGCGAAAGCGGCUUCCUGGACCAGAACUGACGAUCAGGCACGAAAGCGUGGGGAGCAAACAGG